rnacentral:rRNA from 1 species
CACGUAGGCGGAUGCGCAAGCGUCUUGUGAAAUCCCUCGGCUCAACCGAGGAAUUGCAGGGCGAACUGCGCAUCUUGAGGCAAGUAGAGGUGUGUGGAACUCUUGGUGGAGCGGUGAAAUGCGUAGAUAUCAAGAGGAACGCCGGUGGCGAAAGCGGCGCACUGGGCUUGUCCUGACGCUGAGGUGCGAAAGCUAGGGGAGCGAACAGGAUUAGAUACCCUGGUAGUCC